GAGGGGCUCCUGCUGGAACUCUUUGCAGGUCAGCUCCUUUGUCUCUGGAUGGAUCUAAGUAGAACCCCCCGCCCCAAUCCAGUCCAAAUCUGGGAGAGGAACCAUGCCUUGGAACUAAGAAACUGGAAAGCUGAGUCUUCUGCUUAGAGGCAGCCAGGCAAACCUCCGGGGUGGUGGAUCAGCCAGAGCAAAUGUGGGGUAAGCCUCCAGGCUUCUUCCAGCUUCUUAACCUGGCUACUCUCUAGGACUCUGUGAAGGAUGACAGUGUGUCCUUUACCCCAGCUAACCUUAUUGGCUUCAAGAUUGAGCCCUCCUAUAGAGGGUGGCCUUGACUUCUACCACUGUAGACAAAGCCAACUUGCCUACCAGUCUCUGAGCCUAUAAGCAACAGAAAUGAAGCGAAGAUAGCAGUUAAGAAGAAACAAGAGGACCCGAGGUUCAAAGUAACUCUGUAGGAUAAUGGUGAACUAUACGGUGGCUUAUAGCUUUGGCACUAGGACACCAAACAGCUAGGAAGUUGGCUGGGCCAGAUUGCAGGAGUGCUCACAAAGCCUGGAGUAAGUGACGAAUAGGUAGACAGCAGUGACAUUGAGCCCAAGACAUUGGCCCUUUUGGAUGCUGGAAAACAUUGGCUCAGUCUAGAAGGCUCUGUCCCAUCUUUCCCCACAUGAGCUUACUACUUGUCCCCAAGUCACAUAAAAUGAAGAAGCACUCUAUUCCCAAGGGCAUCGAUACAGUAUUGAAGUCAGAGUGAGAAUCCCAAUUGGCCUGAGUGGAGACGAGUUUCCGAGAAGACCUCUACGGAUGUGGAUGCCCACAUGGAGAGAGCACAUGGCUUUAUGUUAAGGAUGCUGAAUCUAGAAAUCUGUUACAGCUGCUUUACAAAUGUAAGCCCACAUCUGAACAAAUAGGCACAGAAAGGAAGGCAGUGGCUGGAACUUCCACCGUGUCCUCAUGCUCCCUUCUCUAUUUUCCCCAAAGAACACAAAAACAGUUCAAUCCAACAAACACUCCUCUGGAAUGUUUCUAACUACCUCCAAAUUAAAGAAAUUAAGUUCAGCAAAGCAUGUCAGGAUGUCCAUAUUGUCCUUCUGACUUGGAGGCAAUGGCAUUGCUGCAAGGUUGCAGUGACAACCAAAUGCCAGCACACUGGUGCAGUGCUCAGAGCAAAGCCUGGCCCACAGUAACAGGAUCUCCACUUGCCUGAGCCUUGGCACAGCCUCCUGGGGGAAGGCCCUACUACUGGCCUGUUAGGCAGAUUAGGGUGAAUGACUGGCUCAAGACUUCCUGGUCCGAAUGCAGAGAAGCCAAGGCGCACCGCAUAUCUAUAUGACCCCCGACCAACUUCCUUCCUUGAAGGUUUAAGUCUACCUUCAAGCUGUGUGCCUAGCUUACUCUGUCCUCACAGCAUCUCCCUCUGUCCUGCCUUGCAUCUGGUCUGGACGGGAAUCUCAGCUGUGUGACCUUAGGCGGCUGGCAGUAUGAUCUGAGGUCACCCAGCAUAGCUGUGACAACGGGGUGGGCAUCAGGAAUUUGCACCCGUCACUCUAGGGGCUAGAAGGAACACAAUUAUGGAGCUGAGAGCUUAGCCCCUACCAUAUUCUUCUUUAUCCCCUCUCCUUUCUGGGCCCCAGCUUUCUUGUCUGUUGAAUGGGAAAGGGACAAGAUGGUCCCUGAGCUGCUGUCCGGAGCUGAUAAUGGGAUUCUGUAUGAAUUCCAAGGAGCAGAGUGGCCACAAAAGCAUCCGCCCUGCACUGAUGGGCUCUUUUCUCCAGGAAGCCGUUUGCACUCUGCCCUGGGUCUCAAGUGCAUUUUAUCCAGACUCUCCUCCUUAGAGAAGGGGAGGGAUAAACCAGAAGCAUCUCAAAGCCAGACCCUGGUCUUCAGAGACAUGAUAGACACCAAUCCUGCUUGUGUCUCUCUGGUCUUUCCGGAAGCAGAUGUGAGGGUGGAGGUGAAACCAAGGAGGGGUCUCCGCCUGUGACCACAAGAGGACAGUCUCCACAGGGUUGUGGUCUGGCGCUGGGAAUCCAGAAGAGGAGGAAAGAAAAACCAAAGCAGAGCAACUCUGGCUGUGGCGGCUCAGAAGUCCUGGUAAGCCCGACUUCCGGUAGAGGACUCCCACCUGGCAAGCUGACUUCCGGUGGAGGAAUCCCACCUGGGCCUGAGAGAUUAGUCCCGAGGCCUCUGCUGGACACUAUGGUGGAUGGCGAAGGGGCUGUGAAUGGAGGAUGCCAGAGAACUCAGACCAGAGAAAAGUCCAAGGACAUCAUCUUGUGGCUACCCCACGCUUUCCUUUAUUCAUAUUGUAAACAGAGUUCCAGGCUGCAUGCCAGGGACAGAUCGAUGUACUUAACUCUUACACUUACCCUGGAAGGCAGACAAUAUCAUCAGGCCCAUUUUACAGCAAGGAAAAUUGAGUUCAGAGAGAGUAGGUAACGUGCCCUAGGUUUCACAGCCUGUUACAUGGUGAAUUAUAAUUCUCCUCAAGCAACCUACUCUAGACAUUGGGCCCUCACCACUCCACCACACUGCCUCCCUCCACUCCAGCUGCAAAGACCUAGGCAGAGAUUUCUGGGAACAAAACCACAAAGGGUAAUAAUGCAAACAGACGUUUCCUGAGUGUCUACUGUGUUCCAGGAGCCCAAGCCAGCUAGCCAUGCUGAUUACCUUACAUUAUCAUUGUAUCACCCUCUCCAUUUUUGCAGAUGAAGGAACUAAGGCUCAGAGAGUUGCUUCAACUCACCCAAGGAGACCCAGCUGAGAACCUGACUUAGUCUGAUCAGAGAGCCUGACUACAAAGCCUUCAUCAUAAACCACCAGAGCCUCUCUCUAAGAGACCCAAUAUGCCAGCGCUGGGUGAGUGAGUGGACUCCUGCAGAGAAUGCCCCUCCCCCUCCCACGUCUGCUGCUUUCAUCAUAUCCCCAUCAACCUCUUGCUGGGCAAGAGGCAGGAGCUCAGCAAUCAAUCAAAUGAAAGACUACGUUGCCGUGACCACGCCCCUCUGCUCACCUUUGGCCAAGGCCAGGUGGUUCUUGGAGUGCUUACGCUUUCCUAAGCAUUGGGAUAUCACUGGAUCCCUGCCCUGUCUCCGACACUCUGCCAAGUGUCUUUCCUUCAAAGUUGGAGAUAUUUCUGUCCCUGAAAUGCUCACAUCUCAGCAUCUUGCUGAGAGGUCUUUUGGAAGAGACUGGCUGGUGGGAGGUUGAUCGCCAUGCUCUGCAGGGCUAGGGGACUUGGGACAGGGCUCUGCACCCGGGCUGGGCUGAGUGUGUGUGUGGCUCCGACUCCUGUAGGAGAGCUUCACUUGCAAGCGAGCCAGAUCAGAGGUUCAAAACAAGGGCCCGGGGCAUCACAAGCCAUUUAUGUGAAUGUUUUGUUUUUCAAGACAGGGUUUUUCCAUGUAAACCUGGCUGUCCUGGAAUUCUCUCUGUAUAAUGAGGCUGGUCUCCAACUCACAGACAUCUGCCUGCCUCCCAAGUGCAGGGAUUACAAGCUUGCACCAUUACUGCCCAGCUUGAGUGCUGUGGACUUUGAAUUCAGCAAGCCAGAUUUUUAACCCCAGUACUGCCUUUUCCAGUGGGAGACUGAGCUAGUCGCUUUUGCACUUUGGUAGACUGAGGCUCAUGGUAGCAGUUGCCUUGUCAGACUUAGAGAAGUGUCAGCCUUCAGUAAAAAUGGAUCAUUACCUGAGCAUCCUCAGAGGUCUGGACACCAUCACUUCUCAUCCCCAUUUGACAGCUGGAGAAACUGAGGCAGGAGGCAGCAGAGUGCCUUCCCUGGAUUAUCUGGGCUCUCUGCCAGGCCAGGGUUGGCUCUCCACCACCAGUGAUGGCCUCUCCUGCCCCUUUCUCUCUCUUCCGCACUAGCUGAGCUCAGAACCAUCCGUGGCAGAUGUGAAGGCGGCUGUCAGAGCUGCAGAGUUGGCAUUUCUGGGGCUCCCAGGGUUUCUGGCACAGAGGAAUCAGCCUCACUCAGCGCCUCUGGCUCUGCCUCCUGCUUUCUGCUUUGCUCACAACCCAGCUGGACUCCAUCAGCUUCUGGAGAAAUCUGGAGACUAUCAAUAGUCACCUGUACUUGACCCCAAACUUGCUAGGGUAGAUGACCCUUAAGGGUCAAACCCCUCAAAUGUCCCCACUGUCUAGCCUUCCCUUUAUCUCAUACCAGAUGCAGAGGGAUGGGCACACAGGAGCUAAAGACAUGGGUGAUCUUGGUUCAAAUCUGUUCUGAUGCUACUUAGAAACCAAAUACCCUAGCCAGAGACCUUCCUCUUUGUACUUCUGCCCCAGACAGGAACAGUUACAUCACCCAAACUCACGUAAGAGAUGCGAGAUGUCCCAGCCACUCUUUUAUAGUUCCACUCAUGUGCUUUUGGGCCCAAGGAGCUUUUUCCUCCAUGCUUCUGGCCCUGUGGUAACCAGUUUCUCAUGUUUAGACUCUAUGCUUCCAGCUGAGACAGCACCUCUGGGGUAUGCAGAUCUCCAGUUUCUCUGUCCUCACAUCCAGGAAGAGCCUGGGCAUGCUCAUAUUGGUGUCCAGUUCUUCACAUGAUAUCUCAGGGGACAGUCUCAGUGUGUGCCCACGGUGUGAUCCUAUCAGAAGCACAAGACAGGAGUCUGUGCAUCCUGGUUACUUCCUUAAGUCCCGUCCAGUUGGUUGAUGUUCUCAGAAGAAAGGACUCAGAACUGAGUGCAGAAUUCCAGAGACAGAUGAGAAGUCACAAAGAGAAAAAAAUGGCCCUGUCUUUAUUCCCAGCUAUAUUUUUCUUUUUUUCUGUUUUUUCAAAAUUUAUUUUUAUUGUAUGUGUAUGGGUGUUUUGCCUGCAUGUGUAUCAUGUAUGUGGCUAUGGCCCACAGAGUACAGAAAAAGACAUCUGGUCUCCUAGAACUGGAGUUACUGACAAUUAUGAGCCACUAUAUAUAUAGCUCCUAGUAAUCACAUUGGGACAGAAGCCUUCUAGGAAAGGCUGUGGCAAGCGAGUGAGAUCCCUGGAGAUGGCCCACUAUUUUGCAUGGUUGUGAUGGGUGCUUUGGAAAGCCACGUGCCCAUAAACUUUGUCCAAGAAUUGCUUCUCGAUGCUGAUAGGCCUUUCCUGCCACUAUUACAUAGUCUAAUGAUGCCUGGGCAUCGGCCCACCCAAUUGGGCAAAUUUCCUGCAGAUCAACAUGAAGAUGAACUUUCAUGAAUCAACGCUGUUUAGAUAAAUUAAUGACUUUAUAGCAUUCCUGAUUUGAUUCAACUAAUCUUAGGGAGAAAGUUGAAGGAGAUGGUUUUAGUUGUUUUGCCAGAAAGAUGUAAUAAAGUUAGAAUCAAGAAUAGAAUGUGCUCCCUCCUCAUAGAAUAGUAAGUAAAGGCUGCAUGAUAAGCUUUCAUAAAUUACACUAAGAAUAGAAAUAGGCUUUGGACAGAUUUGUGAUCAAGGAAAAACAUUCAUUCUAGGUCAAGUCCAAGGAUGAAGCCACAGGUGUGCGCUAUGAUAAAGCAAGGCCAUGUGAAACUGUUGCUUUGAACUUAUACUGAGCUUAUAGAAUAAAGUACUGCUUUGAACUUA